GAUGAACGCUGGCGGCGUGCCUAAUACAUGCAAGUCGAGCGAACGGACGAGAAGCUUGCUUCUCUGAUGUUAGCGGCGGACGGGUGAGUAACGCGUGGAUAACCUACUUAUAUUUCUGGGAUAAUUACGGAAAAACGUAGCUAAUAACAGAUAAUAUUUUGAACCGCAUGGUUCAAAAGUGAAUGACGGUCUUCGUGUCACUUAUAGCUGGUUCCGCGCUGCAUUAGCUAGUUGGUAAGGUAACGGCUUACCAAGGCAACGAUGCAUAGCCGACCUGAGAGGGUGAUCGGCCACACUGGAACUGAGACACGGUCCAGACUCCUACGGGAGGCAGCAGUAGGGAAUCUUCCGCAAUGGGCGAAAGCCUGACGGAGCAACGCCGCGUGAGUGAAGAAGGUCUUCGGAUCGUAAAACUCUGUUAUUAGGGAAGAACAUAUGUGGAAUUAACUGUGCACAUCUUGACGGUACCUAAUCAGAAAGCCACGGCUAACUACGUG
rnacentral:rRNA from 1 species